GCUGUGGGAAACCUAGCUGCUCAAUGAAGGGGCUGAAAAAUCCAUUCCAGUUCUGACUGCAGUCUUUUGUAACAACACCUUGUCUAAAGACCACCAGAAUCAAUUCUAGCAGCUUUCAAAUGCGUGUACUUAAAAAAAAGAAAGAAUUUCCAACAGACAUAUAAAAUGCCAGAAUUAAACGUUCAAGGGUACUGGGAGCAGCAAAGAAAAGCCACAGCAACAUCAGUUUGACCACGAAUGCUGCUUAAUGGUGUGUUAAAACGCUGCAAUGAAGAAUAACUUGCUGACAUGAUACCUCCUGAAGGGACACACACAAAUGCUGACUCCUUUGUUUUUUAAUUGGUUCCUUCGCCAUUUCAGCUGCCACCAUCCCCUCUCCCCAAAACCCCAGUAGACAUCAACAGAAUCCAGAAACUACAGGGUCCACUGGCAUGGCAGGGCCUGUAGGAUUCUUUUCCAAUGUGUACAGAUUGGCUGAUGCCUGGACUAUGCCAGUUCACUGUUUUAAAGAUUACUCUUGAUUGUCACAAUUAAAAACAAAGAAUAUUUAGAACCAAAUUAUAUGUGUUGCACAUUAAACAAAACGUUUUAUAAUA
rnacentral:lncRNA from 1 species